rnacentral:rRNA from 1 species
GUCUACGGCCAUAUUACCCUGAAUGCUCUCGAUCUCAUUUGAUCUCAUCUGAUCUCGGAAGCUAAGAAGGGUCAGGCCUGGUUAGUACUUAAAUGGGAGACCGCCUGGGAAUAUAGGGUGCUGCAGGCU